GUGCUUGCUUUGGUAGCACCUAAACUAAACCUGGAACAAUGCAGAGAUUAGUGUGGCCCCUGAAUUUCUGGCAAAUGCAGAAAGCAGUCCAUACUUUU
ensembl:snRNA U6 U6 spliceosomal RNA